GUGGGGAAUAUUGGACAAUGGGCGCAAGCCUGAUCCAGCCAUGCCGCGUGAGUGAUGAAGGCCUUAGGGUUGUAAAGCUCUUUUGUCCGGGAAGAUAAUGACUGUACCGGAAGAAUAAGCCCCGGCUAACUUCGUGCCAGCAGCCGCGGUAAUACGAAGGGGGCUAGCGUUGCUCGGAAUCACUGGGCGUAAAGGGCGCGUAGGCGGACUCUUAAGUCGGGGGUGAAAGCCCAGGGCUCAACCCUGGAAUUGCCUUCGAUACUGAGAGUCUUGAGUUCGGAAGAGGUUGGUGGAACUGCGAGUGUAGAGGUGAAAUUCGUAGAUAUUCGCAAGAACACCAGUGGCGAAGGCGGCCAACUGGUCCGAUACUGACGCUGAGGCGCGAAAGCGUGGGGAGCAAACAGGAUUAGAUACCCCGGUAGUCC
rnacentral:rRNA from 1 species